GAAUCGCGCCGCCAUAAUUUGGGUAAGAAUUUCUUUCAAUUUCUCCAUUUAUUCUCUACAUUACCCCAUUUGGUUAGACAUUUUUUCACCAAUCCCAGAUUUGAUUUUAUUUCAGGAGAAAGGUGCGAAUGAAGCCGCACCCUUUGUAAUUGAUUUCACGAAUUUUUUUUUAGUUGUUUGGUCAAGAUGAAGCAAUACUCUGUUGCUCUUCAUCUGUUUGACCGAGCUGCUUCUGUAGAUCUCUACACCUCAAGUGUUGCGAUUAAUUGCUUUUGCCGUCUGAAAAUAGCUGAUUUGGGGUUUGCAAUCUUAGGCAGUUUUUGCAAGCGUGGGUUCGAUGAGUCUACUGUGGUAAAAUGUAGCGCCCUAAUCAAUGGGCUUUUGUUGGGAGUCAUGAAAAUUGUUGAAGAAGUUGUUAGUUGAGGAACUGUGUGAGCCAAAUGAAGUUAUUUAUCUUAGUUUGAUCGAUGAGUAUGCAAAGUUGAACAUACUCUCGAGCAAUGAUUGAUAGUCCAUGGAUAGUCUAUGCAAGGAUGGAAUGUCCUUUCAUUGUUUUUUAUCAUGGGUGAUAAGGGCAUUUUACGAGUUUGAUCAUUCAUGGAUGACUCUUUCAUUGAUGGAUUGUACAAUUUUUAGUUGAUAGGAACGAGGCUCAAGACAUUUUGAAAAUGAUCUUUAGCCGAUGGAACGAGGCGGAAGACAUGUUAAAGAUGAUCUUUAGUAGAUGGAACGAGGCUGAACACAUUUUAAAAAAGUUGGUGGUGGAGUGAGAUUGAAGGCAUGUUAAUUUUUUUAGUUGAUAUGAUAUGUUGAAGAAGAUGAUGGGUGACGAGGAUUAUUUCAAAGAGUCUUAGUUGAUACGAAGAUUACGUUUAUUGCAAAGAGUGUUAGAAGAUGGUGGCCGUUGAUGUUUAUUUUGCAAAGAGUCUUGUCUCAUGGUAAGAGUGGGGUGAUGUUUCUUACUAUAAUACAAUUGCUACAUGUAUAUUUUGUGAAUGCCGAUGUGAAGUUGACUUGAAUCUAUUCAUAUUUUGUGAAUAUAUUUUGUGAAUGCCGAUGUGAAGUUGACUUGAAUCUAUUCAUAUUUUGUGAAUACAGAUGUGAAGAUGGGUUGAAUUGAUGUAUAAUGUUUUUGUUGAAGGUCUUUUAAGAAGUAACAAGAUGUUAGAUCCAAUGCCAGUCUAGAAAGAGAUGAAUUCAAGGAGCUUCAUACUUGAUGCCACUACAUUUUGAGUUCGAGGGUUUUUUAGGACAGUAACUUAGAUUGAUUUGAAAAUUUAGACAAUAACUUUCAGACUUGUAAAAAUAGGACACUAAUUAUUUUUUAGAGUAAAAUAGGACACUAAUUAAUAAGUGUCGUAAAAAUAGGACAUUUCUCAGCCGAUAAUUGGCUAAAAAAUGUCCUACGGAUGCAACACUUAUUAAUUAGUAUCCUGUUUUACUCUAAAAAAAAUUAGUGUCCUAUUUUUACAAGUUCGAAAGUUAUUGUCCUAAUUUUCAAAUCAAUCUAAGUUAAUGUCCUAAAACAUCCCCGACUCCUACAUUUUCAGUGUUGUUUCAACAUUUAGAAACAGAGGAUCAAUGUAGUGUUCUUUUUUGUUAAGGUUUAGAAACUUGUAGCAAAUGAUAUGUAAUCUAUAGUCUACAAUUUAUAAUCAUCAAUUUUGAAUCUUGAUCCACAACAGUGG
rnacentral:lncRNA from 1 species